GCGAAGGACAAGUACCGAAAAAGAUGAAGAACAAUCCUCCAUUCGUUUCACACCACUCAAUCAACCUUCAUCUAUGGAGCCUUUCGGCCAUCACAUAUGCAUUAUCUGACUCUGACUUUUUCUUUGAUUCUACAAAAUAACUUGCACUGUAAGAAUUUUGUUGUGUUUUGCUUUAAUGUAUCAAAGUACCAUCUAAUGUAUUUUUUUUAAACAGACUACAAUAUGUGGCCUUCCAGUAGAAUAGCAGUCACGUGGCAGUCAGCGGAACAUGAGUUUCCUUUAUUUCAAUAUUACUAUGCCACUGCUGAAAAACCACAGACAUUGUCUCCAGAUCUACUGUUUACUGUUUUCCGUCAAACCUCUGCACAUUUAACAUGUUUUGCUCACAAGUAAGAAACGUCAGUGCUUUAUAAAGUAAAUUAUACAGAAAUGUAUUCAAAUUUCUAUAAAUCAAGUCACCUUGAUCUGAAUCAAAGAUCCUGUGUGAAACUCGACGGGUUCCAAAAGGAAUCCAUGCUUAAUAGAAACAUAUCAUGAGUAUCUAACCAAUUUAU